rnacentral:rRNA from 1 species
UAAUCUGAUCUGGUAAAGCGAAUGAUUAGAGGCAUUAGGGCCGAAACGACCUUAACCUAUUCUCAAACUUUAAAUGGGUAAGAACCUCACCUUUCUUGAUAUGAAGGUUGAGGUUGUGAUAUAUUGUGCCCAGUGGGCCACUUUGGGUAAGCAGAACUGGCGCUGUGGGAUGAACCAAACAUGAUGUUACGGUGCCCAAAUUAACAACUCAUACUGAUACCAUGAAAGGCGUUGCUUGCUUAAAACAGCAGGACGGUGGACAUGGAAGUCGUAAUCCGCUAAGGAGUGUGUAACAACUCACCUGCCGAAGCAACUAGCCCUUAAAAUGGAUGGCGCUCAAGUUGUAUACCUAUACAUCAUCGCUAAAGCAUAUGAUUUAUAAAAUUUAUUUUAAUAAAUUUUGAAGCUUUAGUGAGUAGGAGGGUACAAUGGUGUGCGUAGAAGUGUUUGGCGUAAGCCUGCAUGGAGCCGCCAUUGGCACAGAUCUUGGUGGUAGUAGCAAAUAAUCGAAUGAGACCUUGGAGGACUGAAGUGGAGAAGGGUUUCGUGUGAACAGUGGUUGAUCACGAGUUAGUCGGUCCUAAGUUCAAGGCGAAAGCCGAGAAAUUUUAGAGUUAUAUUAAUUUAUGAAAUAAAUAUACUUUAUAUUUUUGAACGAAAGGGAAUACGGUUCCAAUUCCGUAACCUGUUGAGUAUACGUUUGUUUAAUAAAACUGGGCUUAUAUGCUCAUCCUGGUAACAGAAACAACCAUAAAGAAGCCGUCGAGAGAUAUCGAAAGAGUUUUCUUUUCUGUUUUAUAGUCGUACUACCAUGGAAGUCUUUCGAAGAGAGAUAUGGUAGAUGGACUAGAAGAGCAUGGCAUUUACUGCUGUGUCGAUAUUUUCUCCUCGGACCUUGAAAAUUUAUGGUGGGUCACCCAAACUUCUCAACAGGCCGUACCGAUAUCCGCAGCUGGUCUCCAAGGUGGAGAGUCUCUAGUCGAUAGAAUAAUGUAGGUAAGGGAAGUCGCCAAAUUAGAUCCGUAACUUCGGGAUAAGGAUUGGCUCUGAAGAUUGAGAUAGUCGGGCUUGAUUGGGAAACAAUAAAAUGGUUUAUGUACUCUUUCUGGGUAAAUUAGGAUUUAUACAAUUUUUUUUAUUUAAGAAGAUUGUAUUUAUCUGUUCCCCGGAGAGAUGUUACGUAGCCAAUUGUGGAACUUUCUUGCUAAUAAUUUAUAAAAAGGUUUUUUAUUUUAUAAUGGGAAAUUAUUUUUUAUAAAUUUAUAACGACUAUCAAUUAACAAUCAAUUCAGAACUGGCACGGACUUGGGGAAUCCGACUGUCUAAUUAAAACAAAGCAUUGUGAUGGCCCUAACGGGUGUUGACACAAUGUGAUUUCUGCCCAGUGCUCUGAAUGUCAAAGUGAAGAAAUUCAAGUAAGCGCGGGUAAACGGCGGGAGUAACUAUGACUCUCUUAAGGUAGCCAAAUGCCUCGUCAUCUAAUUAGUGACGCGCAUGAAUGGAUUAACGAGAUUCCUACUGUCCCUAUCUACUAUCCAGCGAAACCANNNNNNNNNNNNNNNNNNUGGAAUAAUUAGCGGGGAAAGAAGACCCUGUUGAGC